rnacentral:lncRNA from 1 species
UUUUUUUUUUUUUUUUUUUUUCCUGGUCCUGAGCACACAGCCUUGCAUAUUAUUAGGUAAACACUCUACCCUGAACUAUGUACAUUCCAGCCCUCGAUUUCAGUGUAUUUGGUUUUCUUUUUUAAAUGUGUGCAUAUGUGCACGUGGGUGCUCACAUGCAUUCAUGUGGCAGCCAGGGGAGGAUGCUGAAUGUCUCACUUUUCACUUUACAUUCUUCGUGUGUAUGUGCACAUGUGCAUGUAUGUAGACAAGCUGUUUGUGGAUGCACGUGGAAGUUUGUGGUUGACGUUGUAAAUCAUCUUGACAGCUCCUCUUUUCACUUACUGAGAUGGGUCUCUCAUUUUAUCCUGGUGCUCAACCAGUCUGGCUAAUUAAUUGCCAACUUUGGGGGUCCCAUGUCUUAACUUUAUGAGGUGGAAACUACAGGCAAGUUUGCCACACUAACUUGGCAAUUAAAUGAAUUCUGAGGAUUGGAAUGUCAGUCCUUCUGCUUGCAAAGCAAGCACUUGAACUGCUGAGCCAUCUCUCACCCCCACAUUAAUUCUCUCACUGAACCUGAAGUUCCCUGUUUGACUAGGCUGACUAGGGCCAGUGAGCUUUGGUGACUCACCUGUCCCUGUUCACAAAGUUUAGGUGAUAAGCAUACUCAGUAAUACCUGGCUUCUGUGGGAGAGCUGGGGGGUUGCCGUCCUCUUCUCAGCAUGGGUUCUUAAUCCCUGAGCCAUCUCUAGUUUCCCUGUGUUUUCCAUUGAACAAUAGCUAAGUGCCAUAAAAAAUUUCAUUUGCACGUUUUUACAUUGAAAUAAACCUUUACCAAAAGAAAUGCUACUGUGUGAUUCUUUGUCCAUAAUACUAAUUUGUUUUCUUAUUUUUUAUGUUUAGUUCUAUUGUUUCAACCCUGUUAGCUCUUAUGGAUGGUUUGGACAGCAGAGGAGAAAUUGUGGUCAUUGGAGCUACCAACCGGCUAGAUUCCAUAGACCCUGCUUUACGGAGGCCCGGUCGGUUUGACAGAGAAUUCCUUUUUAGUCUACCUGAUAAAAAUGCUCGAAAAGAGAUUCUGAAGAUUCAUACAAGAGAUUGGAAUCCAAAGCCAGUGGACAUGUUUCUAGAAGAACUAGCAGAACACUGUGUUGGUAAAUACUUUUUUGAGCAUGUAUGAAAAAUACUCUGUUCAUUUCAGAGAUGAAACAAGUUGAGGUCUUGCUUUAAAGUUUAGAUUUAAAAGACUGGUGAGAUGACCUAAUGGGUAAAGAUGCUUACAGUUCAAACCUGGUGACCUGAGUUCGGUUCUUGGAAGACACAAGAAAGUGGAAGGAAAGAACUUGGCUCCACAAGGCUAUCCUCUGACCUCUAUGUACUUGUACUCACACAUAACAAAGCCACAGAUGUAGCCAGAUGUAGUAGUACAUAUUUGCAGUGCUAGUAGUAGGAAACAAAGACAGACUGUAAGUUUAUGGCCACCCUUGUCUGCACAGGAAGGAAGAGCUGAUCUGAAAAUGGAGCACAGUUCGUUUGUUUUCCAUCUCUUUUGUGUGUUUACCUUUAAGAUCCUAGAUAUUAAAGAAUACUUGUCCAAGGGUAGCGACAUAACUAUCUCUGCACCCCCAAUCACUUGGGAAACUGAGGCAGGAUUGCCAUGAGUUGAAGGCUAUGUUAAGUAUAAUAUCAGGCAAGCUAUGGGUAUAUAGUUAUACCUUGUCUCAAAAAUUGAAAUAUAAACAUAAAAUUGAGGACUAGAGAGCUAGCUUAGUGUUACAAGUACAUACUGCUCUUUCAGAGGUUCUGAGUUGUUUCCAGAACCUAUGUCAGAUGGCUCCCAACUACCUAUAGCUCUAGCUCCAGGAAAUCCAGUACCCUUUUCUAGCCUCUAUGUGCAUCUGCAUGGUAACAUACAUACCUCCACAUGACAGAAACAUAAUUAAGUCUUUUUUUAAUGGACAAAUUGAUCAUUAAGGGAAUUUGAGAGCAGCAUAGACAUGAAAAUAGUAAUAGCCCUGUGAAUUACGCAGUAUUAAUUUAGAUACAGAGUCCUCUGCAGAGGAUAGGUGAAUCUGAAAGAUCACACAGUAAAUGACAACUAGAAUUUGAGCUUUGUCUGACUUUGGUGCACACCUUUAGUCUUGGGACUCCAGAGGCAGACGCAGAAGCAAGGGCAGGUGGAUCUCUAAAUCUGAGAUCAACUUGGUCUACAGAGAGUUCUGGGCCAGCCAGAACUACACAGAGAGAUCCUGUCUCAAAACAACACAACAGAAUUCUUGCUCUUAAUCUUUCUUCUGUACUUAGUGCUUGCGUGUUUCAUUCAAAGGUUAUUGAUUUGUUGACGCCAUCUAAGUUCACGAGUAAGAAAUUUUAGUUUUGUUACCCAUAGUCUAGUAAAAUAUUUAAUUUUUAAAGUUUUCUUUUAAUCAUGACUGUCAGUAGUUUGAGGGUCUUGCUUCCCCCCUUUGCUGUUGAUGGUUCCAGGCUACUGUGGUGCGGAUAUUAAGUCAAUCUGUGCUGAAGCUGCUUUGUGCGCCCUGCGUCGACGGUACCCGCAGAUCUACACCACCAGCGAGAAGCUUCAGCUGGAUCUCUCUUCAAUUACCAUCUCAGCUAAGGAUUUUGAGGCAGCUCUGCAGAAAAUAAGACCAGCUUCCCAGAGAGCUGUGACAUCACCCGGACAGGCACUGUCUGCCAUUGUGAAACCACUUCUGCAAAAUACUGUUCAUAGGAUCUUAGACGCCCUACAGAAAGUAUUUCCACAUGUGGAAGUUGGAACAAACAAAUCUUUAAAUUCAGGUAUUAAAAACUCAAUUGACCAUUGAAUGAAUGAAAGAAAGAAUGACC